AAGGCUUGACAUAUACGAGAACGGGCCAGAAAUGGUCAACUCUUUGGACACUCGUAAACAGGUGGUGCAUGGUUGUCGUCAGCUCGUGUCGUGAGAUGUUGGGUUAAGUCCCGCAACGAGCGCAACCCUCGUUCUAUGUUGCCAGCACGUAAUGGUGGGAACUCAUGGGAUACUGCCGGGGUCAACUCGGAGGAAGGUGGGGAUGACGUCAAAUCAUCAUGCCCCUUAUGUCUUGGGCUUCACGCAUGCUACAAUGGCCGGUACAAAGGGCUGCAAUACCGUGAGGUGGAGCGAAUCCCAAAAAGCCGGUCCCAGUUCGGAUUGAGGUCUGCAACUCGACCUCAUGAAGUCGGAGUCGCUAGUAAUCGCAGAUCAGCAACGCUGCGGUGAAUACGUUCCCGGGUCUU
rnacentral:rRNA from 1 species